rnacentral:rRNA from 1 species
UACGUCCGGAACGGGCGCUAAUACCGCAUACGUCCUGAGGGAGAAAGUGGGGGAUCUUCGGACCUCACGCUAUCAGAUGAGCCUAGGUCGGAUUAGCUAGUUGGUGGGGUAAAGGCCUACCAAGGCGACGAUCCGUAACUGGUCUGAGAGGAUGAUCAGUCACACUGGAACUGAGACACGGUCCAGACUCCUACGGGAGGCAGCAGUGGGGAAUAUUGGACAAUGGGCGAAAGCCUGAUCCAGCCAUGCCGCGUGUGUGAAGAAGGUCUUCGGAUUGUAAAGCACUUUAAGUUGGGAGGAAGGGCAGUAAGUUAAUACCUUGCUGUUUUGACGUUACCAACAGAAUAAGCACCGGCUAACUUCGUGCCAGCAGCCGCGGUAAUACGAAGGGUGCAAGCGUUAAUCGGAAUUACUGGGCGUAAAGCGCGCGUAGGUGGUUCAGCAAGUUGGAUGUGAAAUCCCCGGGCUCAACCUGGGAACUGCAUCCAAAACUACUGAGCUAGAGUACGGUAGAGGGUGGUGGAAUUUCCUGUGUAGCGGUGAAAU